AAGCUUGCUUUUUGUUGGUUAGCGGCGGACGGGUGAGUAACACGUGGGUAACCGGCCUGUAAGACCGGGAUAACUCCGGGAAACCGGUGCUAAUACCGGAUAGAUUAUCUUUCCGCCUGGAGAGAUAAGGAAAGAUGGCUUUUGCCAUCACUUACAGAUGGGCCCGCGGCGCAUUAGCUAGUUGGUGAGGUAACGGCUCACCAAGGCGACGAUGCGUAGCCGACCUGAGAGGGUGAUCGGCCACACUGGGACUGAGACACGGCCCAGACUCCUACGGGAGGCAGCAGUAGGGAAUCUUCCGCAAUGGACGAAAGUCUGACGGAGCAACGCCGCGUGAGUGAAGAAGGUCUUCGGAUCGUAAAGCUCUGUUGUUAGGGAAGAACAAGUAUCGGAGGAAAUGCCGGUACCUUGACGGUACCUGACGAGAAAGCCACGGCUAACUACGUGCCAGCAGCCGCGGUAAUACGUAGGUGGCAAGCGUUGUCCGGAUUUAUUGGGCGUAAAGCGCGCGCAGGCGGUCCUUUAAGUCUG
rnacentral:rRNA from 1 species